rnacentral:lncRNA from 1 species
UCAUCAUAAACAUCUAGAGUUGAGUACAUGGAGAUGAUAAAGUAAAUCAUCGUAAACUGGGUCACAGCAUUAAAACACAUUUCAUUCAAAAUACAUAACGAGGCUUAUGAAUCUCAUAAAAACUAGGCUUGUGCCAUAAAUCCAUCCUCGGGGACACCUUGGUCGAGGCAUCUUACCGAGACCGCCAAGGCUGUUAAAAAUUCACAUUUCGUAUAAAACAAAUUUUUUGUUGGACAUCACAGCCGUUCCUUGGCGUUGGCUGAGUUCACCAUCACGUGGUGGUUUGGCGUGAAGUGAACUCAAAUAUCACCUCAUGAGCUACCCUACGCGCCCCUACAACUGAGGUGAGCACAUAUAAACGGGGUUACCGUGC